UACAGAGGGUGCUAGCGUUGUUCGGAAUCAUUGGGCGUAAAGGGCGUGUAGGCGGUUUUGUUAAGUCAUGUGUGAAAUCCCUCGGCUCAACCGGGGAACGACGCAUGAAACUGGCAGCUAGAGUACCAAAGAGGGGGGUGGAAUUCCCGGUGUAGCGGUGAAAUGCGUAGAUAAUCGGGAGGAACACCUGUGGCGAAGGCGGCCCCCUGGUUGGAUACUGACGCUG
rnacentral:rRNA from 1 species